AGGACUUGACUGCAACCACUUUUCUUGUUCAUGAUAGUGGACCUCCUUGUACCAGUGAGGGCAUUGUAGAGCACGGUCGUAUGGAGGGUGCAGACACUGAUACUGCACAGGAGGGUGGAGUCAUUGAUACUGCACAGGAGGGUGGAGACACUGAUAUUGCACAGACACAGGAUGGUGCAUCUCAGGACCACGUGCAGCAGGAUGAUUCAUCUCAGCCACCUUCACGUGGAGUGAAGAGGACUGCAGAUGAGAUGCACGCGAGUUCUUAGAUUGUAUAUUUUAGAUCAUGUCAUGUUAUUGUAUUGUGGAUUUUUUUAUGAUGACACUUGUUAUGUUAUCCUGGGACUUGUUAUUAUGUAAUUAUAUAUAGGACUUGUUGUUA